rnacentral:ncRNA from 1 species
UGCGGUUGACAAAAACAACAUUUUUUUGAAUGUUGGUUUCGCUAACGGCCCCUGAAGGGGUGAAUAAGCGAACAAGUGAGCUUAUGAAUAAAAA